GAUGAACGCUGGCGGCGUGCCUAAUACAUGCCAGUCGAGCGAACAGAUGAGGAGCUUGCUCCUCUGACGUUAGCGGCGGACGGGUGAGUAACACGUGGAUAACCUACCUAUAAGACUGGGAUAACUUCGGGAAACCGGAGCUAAUACCGGAUAAUAUAUUGAACCGCAUGGUUCAAUAGUGAAAGACGGUUUUGCUGUCACUUAUAGAUGGAUCCGCGCCGCAUUAGCUAGUUGGUAAGGUAACGGCUUACCAAGGCAACGAUGCGUAGCCGACCUGAGAGGGUGAUCGGCCACCCUGGAACUGAGACACGGUCCAGACUCCUACGGGAGGCAGCAGUAGGGAAUCUUCCGCAAUGGGCGAAAGCCUGACGGAGCAACGCCGCGUGAGUGAUGAAGGUCUUCGGAUCGUAAAACUCUGUUAUUAGGGAAGAACAAAUGUGUAAGUAACUAUGCACGUCUUGACGGUACCUAAUCAGAAAGCCACGGCUAACUACGUG
rnacentral:rRNA from 1 species